UACGUAGGGCGCAAGCGUUGUCCGGAAUUACUGGGCGUAAAGGGCUCGUAGGCGGCCAACUAAGUCAGACGUGAAAUCCCUCGGCUUAACCGGGGAACUGCAUCUGAUACUGGAUGGCUUGAGUUCGGGAGAGGGAUGCGGAAUUCCAGGUGUAGCGGUGAAAUGCGUAGAUAUCUGGAGGAACGCCGGUGGCGAAGGCGGCAUCCUGGACCGGCACUGACGCUGAGGAGCGAAAGCCAGGGGAGCAAACGGG
rnacentral:rRNA from 1 species